rnacentral:rRNA from 1 species
CACCCUUAGGACGUGGAUACCCCCGAGAAAUUGGGGUUAAUCCGCGAUAGAUGUAAUGUCCUGGAAUGGUAUUACGUCUAAAGGUAUUUCAUACAUGUUUGAAAUAUGCCUAAGGAUGGGGCUGCGGCCGAUCAGGCUGUUGGUGAGGUAAUGGCUCACCAAACCUUUGACCGGUACGGGCCAUGAGAGUGGUAGCCCGGAGAUGGACACUGAGACAAGGGUCCAGGCCCUAAGGGGCGCAGCAACCGCGAAACCUCCACAAUGCACUCACGUGCGAUGGGGCUAUCUCGAGUGCCACCUGAUGAAGGUGGCUUUUCCUUGGUCUUCAAAGCCUUGGGAAUAAGAGGGGGGCAAGACUGGUGUCAGCCGCCGCGGUAACACCAGCCCCUCGAGUGGUGGGGAUGAUUAUUUGGCCUAAAGCGUCCGUAGCCGGCCGUGAAAGUCUUCCGUUAAAUCCAGCGUCUCAAGCGUUGGACCGCGGGAGAUACUACAUGGCUAGAGAGUGGGAGAGGUCAGCGGUAUUCUGGGGGUAGGGGCGAAAUCCUUUGAUCCCCGGAGGACCACCAGUGGCGAAGGCUGCUGACUAGAACACGUCUGACGGUCAGGGACGAAAGCUGGGGUAGCGAACCGGAUUAGAUACCCGGGUAGUCCCAGCCGUAAACGAUGCAUGCUAGGUGUUGGGUUGGCCACGAGCCACCCCAGUGCUGCAGGGAAGCCGUUAAGCAUGCCGCCUGGGAAGUACGAUCGCAAGAUUGAAACUUAAAGGAAUUGGCGGGGGAGCACCACCAGGCGUGAAGCUUGCGGUUUAAUUGGAGUCAACGCCGG